rnacentral:rRNA from 1 species
AAGCCGUAAGGCGGAGCUAAUCCCUUAAAGCUACUCUCAGUUCGGAUUGUAGGCUGAAACUCGCCUACAUGAAGCUGGAGUUACUAGUAAUCGCAGAUCAGAAUGCUGCGGUGAAUGCGUUCCCGGGGCUUGUACACACCGCCCGUCACACCACGGGAGUUGGAGACGCCCGAAGCCGAUUAUCUAACCUUUUGGAAGAAGUCGUCGAAGGUGGAAUUAAUAACUGGGGUGAAGUCGUAACAAGGUAGCCGUAUCGGAAGGUGCGGCUGGAUCACCUCCUUUCUAAGGAGA